ensembl:lncRNA
GCUCAGAGCAAGGAGAGGAAGGUGGGACACAGCGAGGGAAACAGAAUAUUGCAAAGUGUUUCCUAAAUAUUCACACCUAAUCUUGUGCUAAAUUUAAGAUGACAAGGAGAUAAAAGGCAGUGUGUGUCUUACAAAGGAGAAAUCAGCGCCCAGGACACCACAAGAACAGAGAAUUGUGAGAUGACAUAGCAAGGCUGUGCCUGAUUUCCAGAUUGCAAACACACCCCACAAGCGCACUGCUGCACAGCUGCGUCAGAGAUCAUUCUACAUGCGCAGAUGAGAUAGUUGAAUGGCAUCAUAGACUCAAUGGACAUGAGUUUGAGCAAACUCU